GCCUGGGUGGCUCAGUCGAUUGAGCACCCGACUUCGGUUCAGGUCAUGAUCUCACAGUUUGUGGGUUCAAGCCCUGCAUCAGGCU
rnacentral:tRNA from 1 species